UUUCCUGUGGCUCAGUUAGUAGAGCAAUGCGCUAGCAAGCCAAAGAUUGUUGGUUCAAACCCCCAGAAAAA